rnacentral:rRNA from 1 species
UACAGAGGUCCCAAGCGUUGUUCGGAUUCAUUGGCGUAAAGGGUGCGUAGGCGGCGCGGUAAGUCGGGUGUGAAAGUCUCGGAGCUUAACUCCGAAACUGCAUUCGAUACUGCCGUGCUUGAGGACUGGAGAGGAGACUGGAAUUUACGGUGUAGCGGUGAAAUGCGUAGAUAUCGUAAGGAAGACCAGUGGCGAAGGCGGGUCUCGUGGACAGUUCCUGACGUGAGGCACGAAGGCCAGGGGAGCAAACGGG